rnacentral:rRNA from 1 species
AGAGUUUGAUCCUGGCUCAGGAUGAACGCUAGCGGCAGGCCUAACACAUGCAAGUCGAGGGGUAGCAGGGUAGCAAUAUCGCUGACGACCGGCGCACGGGUGAGUAACGCGUAUGCAACCUACCUUUAACUGGGGAAUAGCUUCGAGAAAUCGGAAUUAAUACUCCAUAAUAUCAAAGUAUCGCAUGGUAUUAUGAUUAAAACUCCGGUGGUUACAGAUGGGCAUGCGUGACAUUAGCUAGUUGGUAAGGUAACGGCUUACCAAGGCUACGAUGUCUAGGGGUUCUGAGAGGAUUACCCCCCACACUGGUACUGAGACACGGACCAGACUCCUACGGGAGGCAGCAGUGAGGAAUAUUGGUCAAUGGCCGGAAGGCUGAACCAGCCAUCCCGCGUGCAGGAUGACGGCCCUAUGGGUUGUAAACUGCUUUUGUACCUGAAGAAUAGGCCCAACGAGUUGGGAUUUGCCGGUAAGGUAUGAAUAAGCAUCGGCUAACUCCGUGCCAGCAGCCGCGGUAAUACGGAGGAUGCAAGCGUUAUCCGGAUUCAUUGGGUUUAAAGGGUGCGUAGGCGGCUUUUUAAGUCAGUGGUGAAAUCCUGCCGCUUAACGGUAGAAUUGCCAUUGAUACUGAAAAGCUUGAGUACAUUUGAGGUAAGCGGAAUGUGUAGUGUAGCGGUGAAAUGCUUAGAUAUUACACAGAACACCAAUUGCGAAGGCAGCUUACUAAACUGUUACUGACGCUGAUGCACGAAAGCGUGGGGAGCGAACAGGAUUAGAUACCCUGGUAGUCCACGCCGUAAACGAUGAUCACUCGCUGUAUGCGAUACACAGUAUGCGGCCAAGCGAAAGCAUUAAGUGAUCCACCUGGGGAGUACGAUCGCAAGGUUGAAACUCAAAGGAAUUGACGGGGGCCCGCACAAGCGGAGGAACAUGUGGUUUAAUUCGAUGAUACGCGAGGAACCUUACCUGGGCUUAAAUGUAGAGCGACAGCUUGUGAAAGCAGGCUUUCUUCGGACGAUCUACAAGGUGCUGCAUGGUUGUCGUCAGCUCGUGUCGUGAGAUGUUGGGUUAAGUCCCGCAACGAGCGCAACCCUUGUCCUUAGUUGCCAGCACGUUAAGUUGGGCACUCUAAGGAGACUGCCGGUGUCAAACCGGAGGAAGGUGGGGAUGACGUCAAGUCCUCAUGGCCCUUAUGUCCAGGGCUACACACGUGCUACAAUGGCCGGUACAAAGGGCAGCUACCAGGUGACUGGAUGCGAAUCUUUAAAAUCGGUCUCAGUUCGGAUCGGAGUCUGCAACUCGACUCCGUGAAGUCGGAUUCGCUAGUAAUCGCGCAUCAGCCAUGGCGCGGUGAAUACGUUCCCGGGCCUUGUACACACCGCCCGUCAAGCCAUGGAAGUUGGGGGUGCCUAAAGUUCGUGACCGCAAGGAGCGACCUAGGGUAAAACCAAUGACUGGGGCUAAGUCGUAACAAGGUAACC